rnacentral:misc_RNA from 1 species
UCAACCAUUGAUUCUUGCAAAACGUUUUUUCUUGCUACACCCGCGAGCCUAGCUGCUAGUUUAAACGAUAGGUUCGCUAGGCUAGCUUCGCUCGAUUCGCUAAGCGCUAUGCAACACGCCACCGUUGUUCAAUACGCUUCACCGAUCUACGACGCACUUCCGUUAUUCGCUAAGACGGUGCUAUCUAUUUUUUCUUUUUGGUUGUUGUUUUCAAAGAGAAUUUUCUGGAGUCAAGAUGCCUUUGUGGAUUAAUGAGAAAAGUACUGAUCAUGUCUCUGGAUCCCUGGCAGAAUUUUUUCAAAUAUUUCCAGUGCUGAAGAUUUCUGCAUCAUAUUUAACAAGCCAAAAGCCUAAUGAAUUUGGCCCCAAAGAUCUUCUGUAUAUUGGACAAAGAGAGUAUGGUGGGACAUGUCCAGAUGAUGAUGUGAUAAAAAUAAUAGGCUCUGAAGGUGCAACAACCUGCCACAUUGGUAUUUUGAGACAUACAGGCUCAGGUGCUGUAUGUAUGCUGCAUUUUGAUGGAUACAGCAUGAAUCAGGGAGUUGAAUCCAUGGUGCAGCUGAUUUUAGAGCUGUCACAACACAAGCUUGAAGGCAGGCUGGAAUUCCAUGUUGUUGGUGGUUUUAUGGAUGAUAAUCACAUCUCAGAGAAGAUCUCCAUGGCUCUGUUUAGACAUCUUUCUCAGUGCAAAGAAGAUAUUUACCUGGUGACAGCUUGCAUUGGAGAUGUAAACACAACUUACAAAAAUGGUGUUCCUUUCCCUGUCAUAUAUGGUGUUGCUGUGGACGUUCAGACAGGAGCCAUUUAUAAUGCUUCCUUUCCGGACCAUGGGCCAGAUGAACCUUUGCGCAGUACUCGAGUCUUCAGUGGUAAUUCUGAUCUUAUAUUGCUGGCAUCAACAAACUGCAACAAGGACAUUGUCUUCAUGUGAGCCAUGCUCUGUCACAGGCAAUGUUUGGGUGGAACCAAUGUCAUUGCAACUGCUGACUAAUUAUUCAGUAUACAACUACAGUAAGGGGCUACUAGAAAUAGGACCUUUCGCUUACUCACAGCUGCCAGAUCUUGAUGCUCUACUAAUGAUGCCAGACAGUUUCUACAGACAGCACUUAUCAACAUCACCAGCUCAA